rnacentral:rRNA from 1 species
UACGUAGGUGGCAAGCGUUAUCCGGAAUUAUUGGGCGUAAAGAGCUCGUAGGCGGUCUGUUGCGUCGGCUGUGAAAACCCGGGGCUCAACUCCGGGCCUGCAGCCGAUACGGGCAGACUAGAGUUCGGCAGGGGAGACUGGAAUUCCUGGUGUAGCGGUGAAAUGCGCAGAUAUCAGGAGGAACACCGGUGGCGAAGGCGGGUCUCUGGGCCGAUACUGACGCUGAGGAGCGAAAGCGUGGGGAGCAAACGGG